AAGGUCAUUGAAAAAAACAUCUGCCAGGUAUUACUGACAGCCACUUGUGAUCACAGAGUAGGUCAGGAAAUUUGGAGCAAAUUGUAUUUAUGUAAGGGAAAAAUGUGUUAAUCAUUCUUAAAACAAUUCUUCUAUGUAUUUUGCCACAAGAGAACUGGAACACCUCUGUAUGGUACAAAACAUUUUUGGGGUCACGCCCCACCUCAUUACUGAAAGGCUUUGUUUUUUAUACUACAUAGAUGGUAGCCCUACAUGAAUAAAUUGAACAGAUGACAGAGGGACCCACUGCCACAUCUUGAGUUAUUUAAGUGGCAUGUGACAUCUAACCUGUGGACCCAAAUAAGGGCUGUCAGUGUUGGUAAAAGCUGCAUUUCUUAGCUUUUAAGGUAAAAUUAAGUGUAAGUAGACAUUCUGACAGUUUCUUCUUGCACUCAGUAGAUUGUCUUGCUUACCCCUCGCCUAUACACAUCACUUAGAUUUUCAGGUACAGUAACCCCUUGGUAUCCCCAGGGGAUUGGUACUAGGAUCCUGCAGACACCAAAAUCCUCAGAUGCUCAAGGCCUUGCAGUCAGCCCUGUGGCACCCAGGGGUAUGAAAAGGUAGUCCGCCGUAUCCAUGGGCUCUGCAUCCAGCCAGUAAUGUAUUUUUGAAUCGCCUUUGCUUUAAUCCGAGGGCUCCGCAUACUCA
rnacentral:lncRNA from 1 species